AAGGUCACUGAGAUCAUUACGUAAAACUGUCAAUGUUGUGGUGUAGAGGUUGGCAACGUCAACCUGCGGGAGGAAAGGCCAGUUUGUACGUCAUUCAACCGAAGGUCACGGAGAUCAUUACAUAGAAUUGGUAAAACUUUCUUGCAGUGGUGUAGAGGUUGGGUGAGAACGACACGUGUUGCAACAUUAUCAAGUAGGUCUACAAUUGCCGCAAGGCUUGAGUUGAGAGGUAAGGGUGAGAAAAAGUCGUAUAAAAGGAGAGA